CGAGCAAGCCGAGCGCUACGAGGAAAUGGUUCAAUUCAUGGAGAAGGUGGUCUUUUCCAUCCCGGAAUCUGAUGAGCUCACCGUCGAGGAGCGCAAUCUCCUUUCCGUCGCCUACAAGAACGUGAUCGGCGCCCGCCGUGCGUCCUGGAGGAUCAUUUCCUCCAUUGAGCAGAAAGAAGAGAGCCGAGGGAACGCUGACCACGUCGCUGCAAUCAAGGAGUAUAGGGUCAAGAUUGAGAACGAGCUUUCCGAGACCUGCGGUGGCAUUUUGAAGCUUUUGGACGAGAAGCUUGUGCCAGCUGCUGCCAGCAGCGAUUCCAAGGUGUUUUAUCUGAAGAUGAAGGGUGAUUACCAUAGGUAUCUCGCCGAGUUCAAGACUGGAGCUGAGAGGAAGGAGGCUGCUGAAAGUACCCUUACUGCUUACAAAUCUGCUCAGGUUUGUUCCUGGCGUCUCAACAUUCUUAGCUCUGUGAUUUAUUGAUUCAGAUUUGUGGGUUUCCUAAACUCUUCCUAUCUGUUUGACAAUUUGCUUUGAGAUUACUUUUUGCGUAGAAUUUUUCGGAUUAGAGAUCCUUUGUGCGCUGCAUUCGGCUUGUAUAUAUGGUUAUUGGUUUGUGUGCAUUUGGUUUUUCCAUUUUUGUUGUUGGAUUUGGAGAAUAUAUAUGGUCUUGGGGCUCACAUUAAUCUUUAAGGCAAGUUGUAUAUAUAUUUUUUUGUUUUUUGGACUUCAAUUUUUGUUGUCACUCAAAAUCAUUAAUUAUUACAGGAAUUAAUGUUGGUGUAUCCUGGUUGUUGGCACUGAGCUAAACCUAUGAUUGCAUAGGCUAAUUCGGAUUAGUUAGAAUAUCUUAUCAUGUUUUCCAUUUACCGUGGAUAUUUUUUUUCCUUCCAGGAUAUUGCAACUGCGGAACUGGCUCCAACUCACCCAAUCCGUCUAGGGCUGGCUUUGAACUUUUCGGUGUUUUACUAUGAAAUUCUUAAUUCUCCUGAUCGUGCAUGCAGUCUUGCUAAACAGGUUUGUGAACUGGACUGUGAUCUUCAGUAUGUGUCUUGCGUUUAUGCUUGUCACUUGAGUAGUGGUGGACGUGUUUUGCGUAUUGUUUGAAUCAACAUAUAAUACUUGUUACAUCCCCUUGUUUAUUGUGAGCGGAGAACGUCUAUUGAAAACAAAAGUUACGUCUUUGUCAGAAUCUUAGGACUUCAUGCUAUUCUCAUUUACACAUUGAAAAUAUUCAGCAAAUUAGUAUUAUUUGGCAUCUUGGAUAGUCUUAUUAGCCUUGUGAAAUAACCCUAAUUUCAAUUCCAAUCUCUAUAUUACUUGAUCGAUUAAUAUGAUGUGUGGCUUUUCAAUGUUGUAAAAUGCGAAAUAAUUUUAUGCUAUUCAUGUUGAUGUACAGUUUGUUUUUCCCACCCUUUUUUCGAAUUUAUCAGGCUUUUGAUGAGGCAAUUGCCGAGUUGGAUACCCUGGGUGAGGAGUCAUACAAGGAUAGCACUUUGAUUAUGCAACUUCUCCGUGACAAUCUCACUUUGUGGACCUCCGACUUGCCGGAUGAUGGAGCCGAUGAGAUUAAAGAGGCAUCUAAACCCACUGAUGAACAGCAGUGAGAAUGCUUCACUGCAAAUUAGGAUUCAACUCCGCUAUAUGUUUUUAUUAGGAGAAGGUGCUUGUUGCUAAUUUGCUUGCUAUUCUGAGAUUUAGGUAUUCUUGUAUUGGUUAUGAAUUGUGGACGCCCCAAGCUUCAUUUUUCAUUUAUUUUUUUAACCUUGUUUCUUUUUUAGUUUGUCUUAUCAAUUUGUGCUUUUGAAUGUCCCUUAAUUUCUUGAUGCUAUUGAAUCCUUUUAUAUGCGUUUGGCGUUAAAGUUCUGCCAUACUUCUAGUAAAGAUUGAUUGAAUGCUUACAUUUUCAUCGAGGAAUGCACCUACAAAAGCCAUUCUAGCCUGCUAUCAUUUAUUUUUAGAUGUUUCAAAUGCCACUCUUUCGAAUUUUGCUUUUCACUGUUUUUUGCUGGGAAUGGAAACGGAAGAAAUGAGUGUAGGUGGCUUGGUAUUUGAACAGUGAAG
rnacentral:misc_RNA from 1 species